CCUACGGGUGGCAGCAGUGGGGGAUAUUGCACAAUGGGGGGAACCCUGAUGCAGCGACGCCGCGUGGGUGAAGAAGCGCCUCGGCGCGUAAAGCCCUGUCAGCAGGGGAGAAAAUGACGGUACCUGAAGAAGAAGCCCCGGCUAACUACGUGCCAGCAGCCGCGGUCAUACGUAGGGGGGAAGCGGUAUCCGGAUUUACUGGGUGUAAAGGGGGGGCUGACGGCGAUGCAAGCCAGGAGUGAAAGCCCGGGGCCCAACCCCGGGAGUGCUGUUGGAACUGCGUGGCUGGAGUGCAGGAGGGGCAGGCGGAAUGCGUGGUGUAGCGGUGAAAUGCGUAGAUAUCAGGAGGAACACCGAUGGCGAAGGCGGCCUGCCGGACUGCAACUGACGUUGAGGCACGAAAGCGUGGGGAGCGAACAGGAUUAGAUACCCUUGUAGUC
rnacentral:rRNA from 1 species